rnacentral:sRNA from 1 species
UGUCCAUUUUUAGUCUUUUGUUGAUACAUGUAUUUACUGAAACGGGAGACUCCAGUACAUUAAUCCUUGUGAAUUCUUACUGUAAUUUUCGAUCAAAACUAAAUAAAAUAAACAAAUUAAGCACUGUGUUAUGCAGAAGAACAAGGGUUUAACCCG